GACGAACGCUGGCGGCGUUCUUAACACAUGCAAUUCGAACGGAAAUGCCCUUCUUUUGUGGGGUGCUCGAGUGGCUAACGUGUGAGUAACUCGUGAUUAACCUGCCCUUGACUUUGGGAUAACUUCAGGAAACUGUGUCUAAUACCGGAUAGGAUCUCCUGCUGCAUGGUGGGUGUUUGACAGUUUCGGCGGUUGGGGAUGGACUCGUGGCUUAUCAGCUUGUUGUUGUGGUAGUGGAUUACCAAGGCUUUGACGGGUAGCCGGCCUGAGAGGGUGACCGGCCACAAUGGGACUGAGAUACGGCACAGACUCCAACGGGAGGCAGCAGGGGGGAAUAUUGCAAAAUGGGCGGAAGCCUGAUGCAGCAACGCCGCGUGCGGGAUGACGGCCUUCGGGUUGUAAACCGCUUUCGCCUGUGAGGAAGCGUGAGUGACGGUAAUGGGUAAAGAAGCACAGGAUAACUACGUG
rnacentral:rRNA from 1 species